rnacentral:rRNA from 1 species
UAGGGAAUAUUGGUAAUGUGCGAAAGCGCGAACCAGCAACGCCGCGUGCACGAUGAAGGCCUUCGGGUUGUAAAGUGCUUUUAGAGAGGAUGAGGAAGGACAGUACUUUCUGAAUAAGCCUCGGCUAACUACGUGCCAGCAGCCGCGGUAAAACGUAGGAGGCUAGCGUUAUCCGGAUUUACUGGGCGUAAAGCGCGUGCAGGUGGUUUCGUAAGUUGGAUGUGAAAGCUCCUGGCUUAACUGGGAGAGGUCGUUCAAAACUGCGAGGCUUGAGAGUGGUAGAGGGAGGUGGAAUUCCGGGUGUAGUGGUGAAAUGCGUAGAUAUCCGGAGGAACACCAGUGGCGAAAGCGGCCUCCUGGACCAUUUCUGACACUCAGACGCGAAAGCUAAGGUAGCAAAC